GUAAAAUUUUAUGCUAUGUAUGUUUUACCACACAUACACAGAAAGAAAGAAAGAAAGAAAGAAAGAAAGAAAAAGAAAAAGAAAAAAAGAGGAAAAUGGCACUACACACAACAGGACAGAUGGAGAGAUAAAUAUUACACUUUAAAAAGGUUCCUGUUCUGGCCUGGCCCCCAUGGGGCAGGCCCCAGGUGCUGGCCCGGUGGGUUUUGGUCCGAAACUCAAUCACCCUGGCUUGUUUUCAGUGAAGGAACCCAGCUCACCGUCCUAGGUCAGCCCAAGUCCGCACCCUUGGUCAUGCUCUUCCUGCCCUUCUCUGAGGAGCUCAGAGCCAACAAGGCCAUCCUGGUGUGCCUCAUCAGUGACUUUUACCCUGGCAACUUGACGGUGACCUGGAAGGCAGAUGGGACCCCUGUCACCCAGGGCGUGGAGACCACCAAGCCUUUCAAACAGAGCAACAACAAGUAUGUGGCCAGCAGCUACCUGAGUCUGUCACCUGACAAGUGGAAAUCUCAUAGCAAUUUUACCUGCCAGGUCACACAUGAGGGGAGCACCGUGGAGAAGAGGGUGGUGCCCUCAGAGUGCUCUUAGGUGCCUGAGACCCCCACCCACCCAAGAGGAUGUGCAGCCAAUGGACCUCCAGGAAGGUCUCUCCUCCCACCAGGAUCAUCCCAGCCCUUCUCCCUGCACCCAAUCAAUGCUCAAUAAAAAGUCCUUCAUUCAAUCAGAAA